GACGAACGCUGGCGGCGUGCUUAACACAUGCAAGUCGAACGGAAAGGCCCUGCUUUUGUGGGGUGCUCGAGUGGCGAACGGGUGAGUAACACGUGAGUAACCUGCCCUUGACUUUGGGAUAACUUCAGGAAACUGGGGCUAAUACCGGAUAGGAGCUCCUGCUGCAUGGUGGGGGUUGGAAAGUUUCGGCGGUUGGGGAUGGACUCGCGGCUUAUCAGCUUGUUGGUGGGGUAGUGGCUUACCAAGGCUUUGACGGGUAGCCGGCCUGAGAGGGUGACCGGCCACAGUGGAACUGAAAGACGGCCCAGACUGGUACGGGAGUCAGCAGUGGGGAAUAUUGCACAAUGGGCGGAAGCCUGAUGCAGCAACGCCGCGUGCGGGAAGACGGCCUUCGGGUGGUAGACCGCUUUCUCCUGUGACGAAGCGUGAGUGACGGUAAGGGGUAAAUAAGCACCGGCUAACUACGUG
rnacentral:rRNA from 1 species